rnacentral:rRNA from 1 species
CUUGCUUCUCCGCCGGCGACCGGCCGGCACGGGUGAGUAACACGUAUGCAACCUGCCCCUGUCAGGGGGACAACCCGCCGAAAGGCGGGCUAAACCCGCGUACAUGCCACCGGGGCAUCCCGGAGGCAGGAAAGGCUUCGGCCGGACAGGGAUGGGCAUGCGGCGCAUUAGGCAGUAGGCGGGGUAACGGCCCACCUAACCGACGAUGCGUAGGGGUUCUGAGAGGAAGGUCCCCCACACUGGUACUGAGACACGGACCAGACUCCUACGGGAGGCAGCAG